rnacentral:rRNA from 1 species
UACGAAGGGGCUAGCGUUGUUCGGAAUUACUGGGCGUAAAGCGCGCGCAGGCGGUCUUCCAAGUCAGUGGUGAAAGCCCGGAGCUCAACUCCGGAACUGCCAUUGAAACUGUAAGACUUGAGGAUGAGAGAGGUGAGUGGAAUUCCCAGUGUAGGAGGUGAAAUUCGUAGAUAUUGGGAAGAACACCGGUGGCGAAGGCGGCUCACUGGCCCGUAACUGACGCUGAGGCACGGAAAGCGUGGGGAGCAAACAGG